UUUUACAUAUUUAUGUGAUUUUUUUUAUCACAGAUAGAAUCAUAUUUUAAAGUUAGCUUUUAAAAUUACAUAUAGUUUGCCUUUUUGUGUGUGACAUCACUUUGUGUCAUUACUAUAUUGUAACAGUAUAAAUUCAAGAUUGGUAAAAGAAUGUAGAUGUAGUCCUUUCCUUCAAAGAUUGUGUUUGAUAGGCACUAGUCUGCAAAUGAGGAAAUGUUGAAGAGUAUUCUUAGUGAUUUUCAAAUCGUUGCAGACCAAACACUACUGCUAUGCCUUUGUAGUGCUUUUAAGCAGUUUGACUCUCUAUUUGAAUUUAUAGCAAGAAAUCAUUAACAAUAACAAAAACAAAAAAAGCCACUGGAUUUUCUUACAGUUCUACAAAUUUUUUUGUCAUGAUUUUUGGUGCGGCUCUUCCAACUAAAAUAAUGGUAUGGUGUUGUAUUUCUUUUUUUAGCAUAGACCAUUCCUAGUCACUUCGGGGGGAAAAGAUAUAUAAAUAUAUAUAAUUUGAUUAGUUAAUUAUUGGCCACCAUGCAUGUAUUAGAUUAUACCUGUUUCAGUAUAACACUGGGUACCUACAUCACACUGGAGAGCAUUUGUAUCUUCAGUCUUAUGCCAGAAUAGCACAAUUUUUAGAUGCCUUGCACCAAUUUUAUUUAAAGAUUUGCAUUUCUUAGUUACUAAAUAUCAACUUUCUAUACUCAAGAAUUGAGAAAAAAUAAUGUUUUGGAUUCAAAAUUACCCACCUAUAUGUGUAUGGAAAUUAUACUUGUACACGUUAAUGAUUUAUUUCCCAUCACUUAGGUAUACUUUUGAGUACCAUAAAUAUUUAUUCCUUAUUUAUUAUACAGACUAUAAACAUUUUAAACUUGACUACAGAGUGCAUUUUUAUUAUUUUCUGAGUAUAAAAUGGAUACAUGAUUAUUAUAGAAAAUUUAGAAAAUACUGAAAAGGAUAAAGAAGAGAAAAAAUUGUCUGCAACUUCACUAUCCAGAGAUAACACUGUUAAUAUUUUUUGUAUUUCCUCUCAGUCUUUGUCUAUGCUAUUUAUAUGUAUGAGUGUGUAUAUGUGUUUGUGUGUGUGCAAAAUAACAAAAUUGAGAUUAUAUUGACCAUAUAGUUGUAUAUCCUACUUUUUAUAACUUCCUAAGUACUCCCCCAUAUCUUGGAAAGUGUGAUUUUUAAAAAAUGGCUGCCUAAUAUUUUAUUGUAUGAAUAUAUACCAUAAUCGAACCAGUUCUCUCUUUGGGUAUCAGAUUGUUUCUAGUAUUUCACAAUUAUAAAUAAUAGUGGGAUGAACAUCUUUGUAUGUGAAAUUUGAACUGUAUAUUAGACUAGUUCUUAAGGACAUAUUCAUGGGAGUGGGAUAAUUGGUUUAGAUGGUGAGAACUUUUUAGGCACUUUAAAAUAUGGCCAAAUUACCCUUCAGAAAGUUUGUACCAAAUUAGCAAUACAUGACUACCCAUCAUACUUCCCCUUCUCCACUAUUGAUUAUUAUUUUCUAAAUUUUUGACAAUUUGUUAAGCAAAUAAUUGGUUGUACUUUUGAUCAUUCUAGUAAGAGUGGCUUUACCGUGAAUACAUUUUUUUCCUUCUGUGAUUUUGUAGUUGAUUGAUUAAUAGAAAACAUGAGAGGAUUGCUUAGCUUGAGUGGGUGACACCCCUGUGAAUAUGUUUACUGUGCAUUUGAAACUCUGGAAUAUUUCACCAUCACUCUACCCUUUCCUAGAAUAUGAGCGUAUCUUUCAUACUCAAUUAUGAAGUAGAAAGAGUUCCAAACUGGUAGUUGAGUACUGGAUUCUAGUUCAGUCUGUGCCACUGUUGAGUUCUCUUACCAUAAAUAUUUUGUGUUCUAUUGAGACAUUCUCAUCUGUAAAAUGUGGAAGUGAUCUUUUAAGGACAUUUUAGUAUCAAAGUAUUUUAGUGUUGGGACUAUUCUUUAGAGAUUCUGGUGUCACUUAAAUGUUAAAAAGCUACAUGAUUAAAUUAGAUUAGAAGUUUUAUCUAAUUUCAACUCUGCAUACAUAAAAAUGAAAGUCUUAACACAAAAGGGAAAUUAAUUUGCAUAAUUCAAUACAGUUACUAUUACCUAAAUAAUAAGCUUUUCUACUUUAAGUGCCUUAAAAGUGUUUUGUAUUUGAAAUCUAAAAUGUAAAGGAAAUUAUUUUGUAGUUCUGUACAGUUUCUUCUUUAUUAUGUACUUGUGAGUUAUUUGCAGCAACUUUUUUUUUUAACCGUAGAUUGCACAGAGCAGUAUAUUCAUGGAUUCUUCACUAUUCUACUAGUGAGGCGUUGGGAAAUGUAUGUUAAAGAUUAGCUCAGUGAGCAGCCAGUGAUCUCAGAGCUCCAGAGGAAAUGAAAAACACUUCUUACUCUCAAAAAGGCAAGGUAUCCUUAGAUCAUCCAAUUACAUGGCACAAGACUGGAAUCAGAUAUCAUUAGAGAGAGUUUGCCAGCUGGGAAAAGAUACGAACGACCCCACAGCAUCAGUGACUACAGUGUGUUCUCAUAAAACUGGUGCUCUAAAAACAGCUACAUUUUACUGAGAGAAUUAACCACAAAUUGAGGCUAGUUUUUACAACGCCACAAGUGGGGCUGUAUUAAUUAUCUAUAAAGAUGAUUCUGAAGUGGUUCUCUGCUCUCAAAUUCCAAAGGAAGCA